rnacentral:rRNA from 1 species
UACGGGGGGGGCAAGCGUUGUUCGGAAUUACUGGGCGUAAAGGGCUCGUAGGCGGCCAACUAAGUCGGAUGUGAAAUCCCCAGGCUUAACCUGGGAACUGCAUCCGAUACUGGAUGGCUUGAAUCCGGGAGAGGGAUGCAGAAUUCCAGGUGUAGCGGUGAAAUGCGUAGAUAUCGGAAGGAACAUCAGUGGCGAAAGCGGCUUCCUGGACCAGUACCGACGUUCAGGCACGAAAGCGUGGGGAGCAAACAGG